rnacentral:rRNA from 1 species
AUGCAUUCAGUCCACGUGCGUCGUUCCGGCGGUUAUACCUUCGAAGCAUUCAUUUUGGAGUGGAUUGGGUUCGAUAGUAGCGGAUGUAGUGGUUCACAUUCGUUCGGAGAGGUACUUGAUGACUCCAACAUCUUUGAGGUGAUGCGGUCAACGGGGCUGGGUGUUGCUAGUCGUCUCCUUCACAAGGAGACAGAACGAAGGUGCGGCACCAGGGCGAGCAGGGGGGAUGGCGCUGGUCGUCGUCGUUCGGCACACAGAAGCAUGGUAGGCUGGCGAUGA